rnacentral:rRNA from 1 species
UACGUAGGGUGCGAGCGUUAAUCGGAAUUACUGGGCGUAAAGCGUGCGCAGGCGGUUUUGUAAGCCAGAUGUGAAAUCCCCGGGCUUAACCUGGGAAUGGCAUUUGGGACUGCAAGGCUGGAGUGCGGCAGAGGAGACUGGAAUUCCCGGUGUAGUGGUGAAAUGCGUAGAGAUCGGGAGGAACACCAGUGGCGAAGGCGGCCGGCUGGGGGUGACCUGACGCUGAGGCGCGAAAGCGUGGGGAGCGAACCGG